AUUUCUUCCGUGGUACCCUUUUGCCUCUAAAAGUCCUCUGUGGCUUGACACCGCUGACUCCAUCCUCCGCAUAUCCUCCAGCCUGUGGAACAUGGUAAUUUCUAGCAACACCGCACAACUUUGCCUCUGGCCCCACAGCCGCCGGGGUAGUGAGGAAGUGUGCCUCCUCAAACCCCUCCAGCCCCGUGCUCACCUCAACCAACCCUGACCUAACUGAUGGACGUGUGACUGGCAGUAAGCCUGCUUCUCGUGGUGCACCCCAGUAUGUGACACAUCUACGAGUUCCAUUUAUAUCCACCUCCUCCUACAGCCUUGGCAGAAUUGACUCAGGGCUCACAAAUCCCUCCGCAGCGUCGCCGGUCUGCGGCAGGGCGGUGUAGCGUUUGGCAAGAAGAUGGUGUCCUUGGCCCGCGAGGGAGGCUAUUGGGGAACAAGGACAAAGGAAUGUGUGAUGGUGACAGGUCACAAUGGCCUGGAGAGGAUUAAAAGCAGCCAGGCAGGGUGGCGUAGGCCGAGGUGGAGGGAGGCUCCUGAGAGAGCUUAGCAGGUGCAAGAUUGCUGUUGGCUGUUCACGUUGCAGCAGCAAAAUGCAGAGGCUGCAGGGAACUGGCGUGUCGGGUGCCGGAGGCCCUUCAGCGUCCUGACGUCUUCGCGUCCUCCGCAGGGGCGGUUUGCGUCCAGGGGCCAGAUCGUCUCAGCACAGAUCAUGAAGAUCCGUGGAGAAAGGCACCCAAAUCAGGUCAGAAUCAGGAGACCCCACAUCAUCCCUGAGAUCUUUAAGGUCAUCUCUUCUGAUUAUGCUUAGAGGGGUGAGGACGAAUCCAGCAGUCCUCGCAGAUGUACUGUACACACUCUUGCAGUCACGAAACCUACAGUGCCUGACAAAGGGGCAGCAGCAGGAGUGGCAGAGAUAACAAUAGGAGCCACAGCAGGUGCUGUGGAUACUCAGGACAGAUCGACUCAACACCGGCAGGAGCAGCCUUCAUGGAUCCAGGAGGAAGCAGAGCCGUCAUGCCCAGGGCGGGUGCUUCCGGCGUGUCCCCACUAUGAGGUGAGGACUUAACAUGUUUGUAAGCAAGUAAUUCCCUCACGUCAGCAGGAGCUGCCAGUCUCUCUCCAGAGGGCAGCAUGUGUAUGGUGCUCGCAGGAGCAGAGACGACUGACAAGCCUGUUUCAGAAACAGCUGAAGUUCCAGUAGCGGGACCCCUCAUCUCAAGUGUGCAGACUGAAAGCUGCAUUAUUAAACAGGAAGGAAGCCAGAAGGUCUCCAAACCAGUGCUGAAGCCUAGAAGGAAAGACAGGAAAAUGACAGAACUCCCGAGAGAGGGCAUUCCCGUCACCAUCGUGUCCACUGGAGAGGACAAAUCAACCCUAACAUCGUCCUUCUGCUGGUCUGUAGCCUGCUGUGGAACCACUAGGGGUGGAAAAGAAGGAAAAAGUCUGGAGCAGCCCAGGAAGCAGAGGACACCACUCCUUCUUCCAUGGGAAAGAAACACAUCAGCUUUAGCUCCACCGCAGAGGAGUCUGGGUUUUUAGAUUUUCCCUUUUUCACUGGAUUUAAGCUGUUUGAUUAUGGUGCGACUUUGUGUAGUUUUCUUCAGGAUACUUAUGCUGUGGGUUCGUUGAGCUUUUUAGAUCUGUGAGUUUGUACUAUUCAUCAAAUCUGGGAAGUUUUCAGCCAGAAUUUUUUCAAAAAAAUCUUAGCGCUAUCUCAAUACAAUGCACAACAGCUAAUCUACAAGCAAAGUCAAAGAUGGGUGGGCAAUGCUGAUGAAUACCAGGCAUUUAAUUUGCUCACUUAAGACGUAUCACUCAGACUGAUGCAACAAUGGUGAUUCAUCACGGUGAGCUGCAAAUCCUGAUUACUGACAGCCAUGGUCGGGGAAAAGCCAGAGACAGUGACUAAAGAAGCAGAUGAUUUAUGCUGCUUUGUUUUGAUAUUAAAAAGUGCAUUGCUUUCAGACCUAUUUUUUGAGCUGCUGUAUUGGUUUUAUAGUUUUCCUCCAAACUUCUGCACCCUUUACAGAAAACUGGGAGUUUUUGCAUCAUGAAAAGGGGUUUCUUGGGACACAUGACUUUCAUUACUAAAACCAGGCUAAUCCCAUACAAACUGGGAUGAUUUAUUGCCCCACGGCCAGCUCUCUUGAAGCCUUCCUGGAGAGCACCAAGGUCACCACAGCAUGUUUUCACCCACCGCCCCAAAGUAGAGCUGGUCCCACUAAGUGCACGUGGUGAGGUCCCACGUUUUGCUGUUGGACCUUUCACCUGCUCCAUUAUGGGAACCAGGUUCCUCCGGGCAGUAGAACCGAGAGUAAGAGCCCUAAAUCAUUCCUCGCUGAAGCCUCACUGAGGGGGGCUGAAGGAUGAGGGUCCAUGAGGGCUUCUCUUGUGCUGAGCAAAUAACAUCUUGUCCCCAACAGAAGGACUGAGAACCACACUCCGUUCAGUACCAAGAUGAAACCAAGAUUCCCAGCUGAAAUAACGCUACCAAACAAUGGUCCUUCCUUCGCGUUCCUACUCACCAAGCUUUCCGUCUCUUUUCUGUACAGAUCAUUUAACUCUUCUAGACAACCGUCUUACUCUUCCAGGUCACCAUCUUUCUCCACCAGGUCCCAACAAUGGACAAACUCAAAUGACAGCCUUCACAUCGCUCCAACCCACUUACUUUUAGAUUUUCCUUGCACCGUGAUGAAGAAAACAAUCACGGGAAUGCAGACCACGGUUAAAAUAAUACUCAAAAUUACCCACAUAAUAUUUCUGUUGAAGAAGGAAAAUAUUGACAUCAGUUCGGGUAAGUGGCAAUGUCUGUCAGUACACGUUCCAUUUCGAAAAAGAGCCAGUAUCUAGUUCAUGCUGACCUUAAAGCAUCUCACCAUUUCUCUGUGUCUUUUUUCUGAUAACAUUUAAAUUCUCCUCUCUUGUAGCCCCUGUCUACCAUAGAGGCGUAGGUUCAUCCUAAUCUCAUCACUCCACACACGCCUACACAGUUUUUAAAGCAACCAGUAAAAUAAUACAAAUCACUUCCCUGGUGUCCUACAGACAAAGCCAUCAUUUCAAUGAUUUUAAUGUAAUUCAACUGUUCAUUCUGUCAUUGCAUAAAUAUUAUGAAUAAAAGAACCUCUUAAGGAUAAAGGAAAAACUGCAACUUCUCUGUGCUUCCAGUCAAUUUGCUGUUGACAAUUAUUAUAUUCAUUAUCUAAAAAUCAGAUUCUGCUAAGAAACCUAAGCUCAAGAAAGAAUAUUGUGAAUUUUUAAUUUCGCGUCACACUUCACCUAGCAAAGAAAUGCUGGCAGCUCUAGUCCAAGUAGGAGCCUUGAACACCACAACUCAUUUUGGUGUUAGAAUGUUGCCUAAAAAGUACAGUGCAGAGACUCAAAAUGAUUUUCCUUUCUAUUAGAAAUUCAACAAUAUACAAGAAACACAGCUUUUAAAACACUUCUCAAGGCGACGCGAUGUAGUAAUAUAGAAACUACCCUGCCAACAGAAAUAGUUAUUUCCUCCUUCUGGUUGAGCCGGAGGUUGAGGAACAGAGUGCAGCUUUUUUAGUCUAGUUACUAGGACUGAAGAUGAAGUGGAGAACAGACUGUUUCCAUCUGUUCUGCUGUUUUCAGAGUGUGGCUUUAAAUUCUGUGUUAGGCAUCUCACCAGCUUGCCUCAGGCUCUGGGUACCACCUUGCAGCCUUACACACCAGAUGGUCCACUCUGGCAUCACUGUUCUUGAAGAGAACGCGCGGGGAACUUCAUAAUCCUGUGAAAUGUAAAGGGGACAAGGAGCUUAGUUAAGAAAUCAACAUCUAAAAAUUGUUUUGAUCCUAAGUUUUAGUAUGUUUAACCAAAUAGAAUGACUGUCUAUCUUUUGUGCAACUUAAGUAGGAAAAAAAAAAAGAUUCUGUGAAUGAUUUCAUCAGAAUGAUUACCCUAAGAGAUCAAAGGUAGCAGGAAAGGGCAAGAACAAGAUAUCUUGAAGGAAUGAGAUAUUAACAAAUAGUCAAGAAAGGAAGGUAAUAAGGAGAAGACAAGUGUUAGGACUUAUAGUACGCUCGGAGGCUUGUUGAAGGGCACAGUUCUGAUUAAGUCAUUACUCUCCCACAAAUGUUGAAUUGUCAAAGAGGAUUCAUAGCAAUCAUACACUUUACCUACCAAACUUUACCGUUAUUACUGAAAGAUAGAAAAAGUAAGGACAGAGUCAGCACCAUCCACCUCUGAAAUGGUUCAAAACCAUCAGACGUACUUUUCAAAAAAGUUAUUUUUCCACCAUGGGAUGUAUUUUGGUUUUAGAUUAAGAGAUGAGUGUUAACAAUGUGUAUAACACACGUGAUUUAAAAGUUAGUCUGAGGGAGUCAUUUUAGAUUCUUAGUUUUUACACUCCAUCAGUCACAUAAGUUGAGAAACUACAUGACUAACUUUCACUUUCCAGUUGAGCCCUAUAAACCAUAAACCCCAGUUUUACGUACAGUAAGCAAUGUAGAAGGACCAAGUAUACAGAGAAGCUGUUCACUCUUUCUUUCCAAGUUAUGCGCGGGUGGGUCAAUACUGCACCUGCCUUUUGUGGGACGUGCAUGAGUCGCAGCCCCAGCAGUGGCAGGGCAUUGAAUCUGCACAUGGAAGAUCAUCACCCAUUCCCUGGACACUCUGUUGUGCAUCGUGGAGCCUGGCUUCUCUCAGGACUCCUGAUGGAAGACAGUGACAGAUUUCUGAGCAUCUAUGAGACAGACCUUGGGCUCCAAUGUGAGUGUCUCUAGCCCUCUAGUCUAACUCUCUCCUGAUCUUAGAAUUAUUCAGUUUAGCCCUUCUUUUUAUACAUUUUCCAGGUCUGCAUCUCUGAUUCACCUUCAGGGCAUACAAUGCUAAGUAGGGAGCAAGGCUACAGGCAGCAGGAGAGAGUGUGAAUGAAGGAACGAGUACAUUGGAAACAGUAGACUGGUUCUUGGGAUGCUCUACUUGGAAUCGUGGUGGAGCUGCCCACUAAUCAGUGCCCAGUGGUUUGGCAGACUAAAAGUUACAAAAUAAGGAAUGAAUGUUGUCUUCUCAGAGGUGACUUCGUGUGAGUCUGUCUGUGUUAAUUCUUUUCCCUGCUCCAUCCGGAAGGCACGAAAUUUCACCUUGAAAUGCACAGGAGUGACCUCACAGUGGAUUCUGUGACAUCAAACAAGCUAAAGCCUGAGACCCUAGUCUCCAGUCAAGUGGAGCCCCACCUCACCCCCAUGCUCAAUGGAGCCAAGAGAAGUGCUUCAUCUUGCAUCAACCACUGCCUGCCUUUGGUUCCCCAAGGUUAUGGAGGAAAGUCAUCUCCUGUGGGCUGGGGAGCACCACAACCUUCUUCUCUUCUUGCUGUUCUUCUCUCUGAAGGCCCUGAAUGUAGAUACAGUACUAAGUCUGGUCUGUAGAUUAAGCAAGAACAGGACUCAUGUUUCCUCGGGAUAUUCAUUGGCGGGGAGGAGGGGAAUGGCAGUGUUUGUCAGGCUAUGGUCUAGACUUAGCAAUGUCACUUCUAAGUAUGUACCCCAGAGAAACUCUCACACAUCUGUUCCGGGAGACAACUAUAAGAAUGUAGCACAAUGUAAGAGCAAAACGUUGGAAAUAGCCCCAAAUGUCCAUCAACCGGGGAACUGAUAAAUUAUGGAAUAUGUAUACUGUGAGAUACAACGGGGGCAGCUAUGCACAUCGGCAUGGAUGAAUCUCACCUACGUUAAAGUCAAAACAGUCACAGAACACAUGCGCUUGAGCUCAAUGUACAAAACUGUUAAUCGCAAUACCAAACUAUGAAUUAUUUAGGGUAGAUAUUUGGCAAAAUUAGAAAAAAAGCAGAUAACCGUCAGGCGUAAAGGAGGGAGAUGUCAUCAGGGAAAUUUACUCAAGAGCUUCAAUAGUGUUGGCAAUUGUUCUAUUUCAUAAACAAGGUGGUGGGUACACAGAUGUUUAUUUUUGAAUAUAUUCACAUUUCUGAGAGCUGGAUGGUCUUAAGAUGUGGUUAUCAUUGUCAUGGAUAUAUCUUAACCAAUUUCUCUUAGUACAUUUUACUUUUUAUGUGUUCACAAGGGUGAAAAAUGUCAAAAUCAAAUCUGAAAGAUUUUUUUAAUGAGUAUAAAACAUUCAAAUAAACAAGAAAUCAUUGUAUCAGUUUAAGUAGUAUCAUUUUUUCUGUCUUAGUGGUACGUAAAAUAUAAUACGUAUUAUACUUGAU
ensembl:lncRNA